rnacentral:rRNA from 1 species
AUUGAACGCUGGCGGCAUGCCUUACACAUGCAAGUCGAACGGCAGCACGGGAGCAAUCCUGGUGGCGAGUGGCGAACGGGUGAGUAAUAUAUCGGAACGUGCCCAGUCGUGGGGGAUAACGUAGCGAAAGCUACGCUAAUACCGCAUACGAUCUAUGGAUGAAAGCGGGGGAUCGCAAGACCUCGCGCGAUUGGAGCGGCCGAUAUCAGAUUAGGUAGUUGGUGAGGUAAAGGCUCACCAAGCCGACGAUCUGUAGCUGGUCUGAGAGGACGACCAGCCACACUGGGACUGAGACACGGCCCAGACUCCUACGGGAGGCAGCAGUGGGGAAUUUUUGGACAAUGGGCGCAAGCCUGAUCCAGCAAUGCCGCGUGCAGGAUGAAGGCCUCGGUUGUAACU